GCGCCUUUUCGCCCUCACCGGUUUCCUCCUGCUCUGCUCUGAGACCCCCACGCCGGGUGGGAAGGUGGCUGAACUAGGCCGGGAGUCCAACGCCGGGGUGGAGCGGAAGGGGCAGUGGCGGGGCGAGAGGGGGCGCCAGUCGCGCCUUGCGCAGACCCGGGGGAGCCGGCGCCGCGGAGGGAAGCCCAGGCGCUUGGCGACCGCGGGCGCGCGACGCCUCCUCCCAGCCUUCCUCUCAGUUCCCGGAGCACCCCCGCCAGUCCCAGUGCCCGGCUGCUCGGGACGAGCGGCGUCAUCAGAUUUGGCGCGACCCCGGGCGACCUCAGCCCAAGGCUCGGAGGGAGAGGCGCCUCUCCGAACCUGGCGGGUCGACAGAGAAGAGGAAAGCCGGCGGCGCAGCUCGGGGGCGUCCUGGAGUCACGGACGCCCGCCCCCUUCCUAGUGGGAACUACGCGGCCACGCGCGCUCCGGGGACCGGUUUUGACCCGUCGGUGCCUCCGCGGGCCCAAGGUCAUGGAAGGCACUGGACAUGUCCCAGGGUACAUUAGGAUCCAACAGGAUGUACCCUCACCUCUUCACAGAUGUUAGCCAGGAUUGUCAUUACGGAGGACACAGACCUUGGGAAGGCAAUGAGUUUCCCACCACUUCCCACUGAGUGAUUUGCACUGUCUGAAAGCCAGUCUAAUGGAAAGUGGCUGGAAAAGAGCAGAAGGGUCUGGUUUCGGCAUCCACGGAAUCAGCAACUGGCCAGGAAUCGAACCUUAACCCGCUGCACCACAAGAAAACUCCUGCACAGUCUUAUUAACAGUCCCAAGCCAAGAAGUUCUGGACAUGUAGUGCCGUCUUGAUCCCUCACCCUGUUCUGCACAUGACAUCCUUGAGCAGUAAGAUAAGACUCUGGAGUGGCUGGCUUUGGGGCUCCAAGCUAUAGAGAUGCCUCAAGUUGGCAGGAAGGGAAGGGAAGUCUUUGUGCUGUUGAAUACCAAAGCUGGCCUCUAUUACAGCCCUGGAGGAGUGCUUUUUGGAAUGACAUUGGAGACGGCGAGCAGCAUCCUGAAGACGGUCAGAUGUUGACAGAGAGAACUUCCCAUGGUGUCACUGGUGGCCUGGCACAAGGACUCCUACAAAGCUUCCAGCCUGAUUUUCCGGAUCUGAGAAGCUCGGCCAAAUGCUCUACAUGUCGAGGAGCCUCUUCCAUUCAGACGGAGCCUUCCAAUCAAAGGUGACAUCCCACCCGUCUAAACAACAUUUUUUGGUGCUAGACACACAGACCACAGAUGGAAAUUGUCUUUUAGUGUCUUGGAUGGGAACCCCCAGCAGCUCCCAGGGACUGAUGGAAGACAUGAAAAUUCACACUGCAGUCGGCAAAGCAACACUUUACCUUCUGAACGAUGCUCUUAGGUGGGAGAAAUCACAGGCAAAUUCUGACUUAUGGGAGGAAUGGAACCGAACAGGAAGCACAUGUGCCCUCCCACCUCGCCCCCGGAAGGAAAAGCCUUCUUCCAGCCCCCUUGAAGUCGCUUCCUUUUCAAAGGGGCUGGCAUUCCGGACUCCCAUAGGCAGGGAGGGAGGGAAGCUGGGUUACGACUUGAAUCCUGCCAUUUCUCCACUGGAUUCCUAAGAAAGGCUGGACUGAGAAACACAUUUGGCGCUGAUAAGACAGAAAUGCAAUAGCUCUUCUGAGCCCUUGCAUCUUGCAGGGUAACUUGGACCACGCACCCACGCCGUUUUGGCACCUCUGCUAGUCUGACUCAUUUCCUCUACCCAGAGGAGAAACAGGGACCCCUUGGCCAAAGCCUUUACCUUCACAGCCAGGGGAGUCGGCAUGUCUCCAGAUUCUAAGAUGCUUUGGGGACAAACCCCCAAGCCCCUCCCCAGAUGAAGUUCUUUCCUAAUUCUGGGUACAGUCUGAGUUUUAUAUCAGUGCUUGGGUGAAUUCAGUGCCUUCUACAUAAAAAGAAAUUCAACUAAUUUUAGAAUUUAAAAAAAACCAACAACAAGCAAACAAAUACAACCCUCAAUCAAGAACUCCUGCAUCCUCCUCUGCCCUAUGACUCUGCAGGUCCACAGAGCCCCGGGCAAGAGGCCGAGGUGUUCCACCCAUGACGGAACACAGUCGAUUCCAUUUUAUUCGAUGUUUAUUAGCAGACUUUGCUUGAUGAUAUUUACUCACUUGGCAAAGCAGAUAGAAAAGCCGAGCAGAAUUCAGUAGAAAGAAACUGGACCUACCCAAUCCCGUCCCUCAGUGGGGAGCUGUUCAUCCUCUGAGUCACCCAGCUUCCCAGUUACCCCAUGGUUGCAGCUGUCGCCUCCUGGCCCACAUGGGGCUCUGAACCAGGAACCCUUCCCCAGCUAUGAAUUCAUAUAUUGGGCUUAACGGUGACACAAAAUUGAUCCCACGUGCCUCUUUUAAUGGCCUUUUCUCCUUUCUCAAUGGACACUCUACCCUGUGAACGUUCACACCAGACAUGUGUCAUGCUCUCUCUUCCUUUAUGAACUGGAGAGAAGUCAUUUGGACUUGAGUUGGAACAGAUGACACCCCUUGGGGAUGGGAAAAUCCAACCAGAGAUUGCGGCCUUGGUGGCCAAAUUGUCACUUGAUGGACACACUUGUAAUCAUAGGGCUUUCUAUCCGCCAUGCUUUGGGGAGAAUUAAGCCUUGAAGAUUCAAGUCAGACUUCAGCGUUCAAAUCCCAGCACCACUAUGUUAUGUCCAGGGGGCAAGCUACUUAACUUCUGAAAACCUUAGUUACUUCAUUUUAAAAAUAAUUAUAAAAUCAUCCCUGCUGUGAGGAUUAGAUGAGAUCAAGUCUGUUGAGUUCUUGUCAUCCUGUGUGUGGCCAGCGGUAUGUACAGUUCCACAAAUAGGCGCUGGGCUUAUCAUUUUAUUAUCACUAUAUUUCUUUAAUUGUGACAGGAUGCUGCAGAACUCAGUAGCAUUUCCCAGAUUCAACCAGAUUUUACAAAGGACACUUCUCAGUAAUUCUCAUUAUGAUGUUUAAGGUGGUUUCUCUAAGUUUUUGGGAAGAUCUCUCAGUUUUCCUAACACAAAGGAGAUCCUUUUUACAGGCUGGGUCACACACAGAAUCUGCCGGGGUCUGAGCAGAAAUGAGGGGGUGGCUUGGGCUCUCCACACCCUCCACCUCUGGUGUUUUCUGAGUUCUUCUGACCUGCCGAGGGCUCCCCCAGCUCCCGUGCUGCAAAGUCCUGCUGGACGAUGACACCAUCAUCAGCUACACUAACUUCGCCCAUCGCAAGUUUGCCCAAUAGGUCAGAACUCUGGAUUUCACCGCUGAUGGAUAUUGCCAAGUAGGUGGAGUGCGUGAGCUGAAUUGAUUUUGCCCAAGUUAUGGGGAGGGCAAGGGGCAAGAAUGGAUUCUGGAGAAGAGUAAGCUUCAGGCUAUCAAAAAGAGAUGAGUAAACCGUGGUAUAUAGAAGGGAGAAGCAACAAGGCUCUACUGUAGAGCACAGGGACCUAUAUUCAAUAUCCUGUGAUAAACCAUCAUGGAAAAGAACAUGAAACAGAACGUCCCUGUGUAUAACUGAAUCACUUUGCUCUACGGUAGAAAUGAACACAACAGUAUAAAUCAACUAUAGUUCAAUAAAAUGAAUUUAAGGGAGUUCCCGUUAUUGCUCAGUGGUAAUGAACCCAACUAGUAUCCCAUUGGUCCCACUGGUUCCACUCAGUGGGUUAAGGGUCUGGCAUUGCCAUGAGCUGUGGUGUAGGUCGCAAAUACCGUGACUGUGGCAUAGGCCAACAACUACAGCUUUGAUUUAACCCCUAGCCUGGAAAUUGCCAUAUGCCUCUGGUGCAGCCCUAAAAAGCAAAAAAAAAAAGAUGAGCAAUCUGUAGGUCUUUAUUGUUCACUAAAGAAGACCUCAGCUAGGACCCCCUCUAAGAAAACAACCAAACAAGAUUAGAGGAAGGCCAGGGGAUGGCUCUUACCCAAGAUAAAUGAGCUGAGAUGUAUUGGCUUUGAAACGUUUGGGUCUUUCUUGGCAAGGGACGUGCUCCCAUCUUCCUAUUGUCUCCUUCCCCUUUCAGCUCUCAUUUAUCAAAAACAGAGACCAUCCCUAGACCUGAUUUGAAUCUGAUUUACCAGGAUGCUCCCCUAAAACAUUUUGCCCCUUUCCAAUUUUUUUCCCUUCUCUUUAAUUUUUUUAAACCACAGGUAUGUAAUAGAAUUUUUAUUCCUGAAAGUGAUGGAUUUAUUUGUGCUAACAUCAACAAAAUGUCCCAACAUGAAUUUGACUUUGUGUUUGGAGUGAUUAAAAAGUACAUAUUUCUUAUCCUCAAAAACAGGAAAUCAUGUUUCUCCUUGAGAAAUGGAAAUCACCCCUAAAAGAGUUGGGCUCUGUUUGAAAUUCCCAGAAUAUGAUUUUGAGGAUCAUCUGCAAGAGUCUGUUCUUUUUUUCUUUCUUUCUUUCUUUUUUUUUUACCAGAACAUUCCCACAGUAAACACAUUAAAAGCAGAAAUACCCAAUAAAUAGGACCAAAAAACCUGCCAAUUUGACUCACAUUCAAAAUGUUUCACUGUAUCCAGAAAACAUCUGGACCAAAGGGUUUUUUUUCCCCCUAAGUGGAAAAAAAACAAAAACAAAAACAAGAAAACUCAUUCGUUUAUGUCUUUACGUCUUAAACAAAAUGAAUUAAUAGCUUUUAAACCCUUUGCACUAAAAAAGGAAAGUGCUUCCAGCUUGACAACUUAAAUGAUAAGUUGCAGCCCAAUGUGUUUUGAAAUAGCCCAAACAUAAAUCCAUCUUCAGUGGGGAGUUUUAAUGGGAAGCCACAGUGACCCCUCACUCCAGUGGUGCUGCCACACAGCUUGCGAUAAUGAUGAUGGACAAAUUGUCAUGGCUGGAGGUGGCCCUUCUGUGUCUCCCCUUGUGGUCGAGCCACACGGAGCAUCAGGAAACAGACACAUGUUCCCAGGGGCAGGAAGAUGACAAAAGUCCAGGGGAUCUGCUGCAGGCGGGCCCCCUCAGCAACUUCCCAGCAAUGGGAAAAGGAAAGGGCAAAACUCAUCUGAACAGCAGGAAGCCGCAAACACCCCAGAACUGCAACCAAAGAAGGAGGAAGGAAAGAAAAGGAAGGCUUUUCUCCUGGAGAAUUCUCUCCUUUUGCAGCCUGCUUGGGAAUUAAGUUAUAGACCCUUCUUGAGAUUCUAAGAUUGGUGUACAGGGGGUUGCAAAUCUCAUCCAGAGCUCUGAUGAUUUUUUUUUCGGAAGAAAAGCAAACCAGAAAACGACGAGUUUUGAGUUUAAAGUGUGCUGUCGAGCAGAGAUUGCAAGAUUGAGACCAUUCCAGGAAAGGAAGUUUUAAGGCCAAAAUUAAAAUAGCACAUUUGUUCCUUGCAAUUUGACUUCAGAAUCCCCCAAGGCUCCUUCUUGGGAAGCUUUACUUUUCAUUUGAGGGAUGUUGUGCACCAUAUGGAAAUUUUUUUUUUUUUUGGUUUACAUAGUGCAUUUGCCAAGAAUGUCUUAUGAGACAUAGCACCUCGUUUUCCAUGGGGGUCCCAAGAGAGAACAGGUAUCGUCAAAGCUCUCUCUAUUUGCUUGGUAAAUGUAAACAUGCAGACUAAAACAAUACUAUUUAGCAAAUAAAAUGAUACACAUAACUUUGAAGCCAUGUGAACUGUAAUUACAGCAAUCUCAAUAAUUAUUAUCACUUAAUAUUCAAAGAGCACCAACCUUGAUUUAGAAGCAAAACUAAAAUUGGAAUUCAGCCUUAGCAUUAGCCUAUUAAGACUCAGAGCCUCAACAGAAGGCGUCGAGGUGUUUGAACCGUUUGACUUAAUUUACAGGGGCAUUGAAUCAACGUGUCCGUUCUCGCUGAACUUACAGAUUGACGGACUUAACUGAUUGGGCAAGUUGACUUGCCGCAUUGUCACUUUGUAAACAUGGCCACUGGACAGAUAUGGAAGUGGGGAGAUAGCUGGGGGAAGAUGGACAUGAAAAAGGAGAAUGUCUAUAAAAGUGUUGAGUGUUCAAAAGUACCUACAUCAACAAUGAAGAAAUCCAGCAAACACCAGGCGUAUGUUCUAUAACCAUAUGCUACUCCUUUUAGAAGUGUUUCCAGAAUAAAGACGUAAAUGAAUAUCUUGUCAGCCUACUCCAGGAUAAUCUUCAUGGUCAUAUCUAUAUAUAUAUCUUUAUCUAUUUAUCUGUAUCUAUAGAUCUUAUACAGAUAUUUAUAUAUAUGUAUGUCAUUUAUACGUAUAUAUGGAUUCGAAACCCUGUGAAAGUAAUAUUCAAAUAUCAAUUUAUGUCCAAC
rnacentral:lncRNA from 1 species